rnacentral:rRNA from 1 species
GUCGAACGGUAACAGGUUAAGCUGACGAGUGGCGAACGGGUGAGUAAUGUAUCGGAACGUGCCCAGUCGUGGGGGAUAACUGCUCGAAAGAGCAGCUAAUACCGCAUACGACCUGAGGGUGAAAGCGGGGGAUCGCAAGACCUCGCGCGAUUGGAGCGGCCGAUAUCAGAUUAGGUAGUUGGUGAGGUAAAGGCUCACCAAGCCGACGAUCUGUAGCUGGUCUGAGAGGACGACCAGCCACACUGGGACUGAGACACGGCCCAGACUCCUACGGGAGGCAGCAGUGGGGAAUUUUGGACAAUGGGCGCAAGCCUGAUCCAGCCAUGCCGCGUGCGGGAAGAAGGCCUUCGGGUUGUAAACCGCUUUUGUCAGGGAAGAAAAGGUUCUGGCUAAUACCUGGGACUCAUGACGGUACCUGAAGAAUAAGCACCGGCUAACUACGUGCCAGCAGCCGCGGUAAUACGUAGGGUGCAAGCGUUAAUCGGAAUUACUGGGCGUAAAGCGUGCGCAGGCGGUUAUGCAAGACAGAGGUGAAAUCCCCGGGCUCAACCUGGGAACUGCCUUUGUGACUGCAUGGCUAGAGUACGGUAGAGGGGGAUGGAAUUCCGCGUGUAGCAGUGAAAUGCGUAGAUAUGCGGAGGAACACCGAUGGCGAA